UGUUUCGGGUUCUAUCGGAUAUCCAUUUAGGUUCGGGUUCGAUUCGGAUAAUACCCAUAACCCAAAAUACCAAAAAACAGGAUCCAUUCGGUAUUUAUGUCGGGUUCGGAUCGGUUCGGAUUCAUUUUUAUCGGAUCGGAUUCGGUUCGGAUUUUCGGGUUCGGUUUAUUUGCCCAGCCCUAGUUAUUUUGUCUAGUGACUAUGGCUUGUGUUGUGAUGCGUUUUUCGGGAUCUGAUGUAGUCUAUUCUCAGCCAAAUGAAAAUGGUCAAGCAUGUGCUACGAUUUUUGGAAGGUUUAAUUUUUUAGCUUUUGUUCAUGCAAGUUCAUUGUUUGACAUUCUACCACAUCUCACACUGGUUCAUUUUUGCAGGCAAGUUCAGUGAUUGGUUUGAUAGUGUUUGUUCUUGUUGGAUAGACAUUUACAUUUUUUCGAGACAAUACAAAUUUUAGCCGGAUAUUAUUUUAUAUGCCAAGACCAGUUGACAAAACUGAUACAUAUAUGGUUUCAUUUAUACGGAUUAUAAAUAAAGAGAUUGUAAUGUAAAUUGAGUUAGCCGGCUACAAUAAUUUUUUGGUGUGUCGUAACAAACCAUAAAUAACAAACAGUAAUAAAUAUUUGAAUUAGAUGCUAAGAUUAAAUGUUACACGGCUAAAAUCUAAUUAUAUAUAAAAAUGUUGGAGUCUCUCCUGCUGAGGACACGUCAGAAAGUCUUUCAAUAUAGGGGCGACGCGUUUCAUUAACUUUCUUCCGUGAUUUAUGUGGGCUUCGCUGUGUGUUGUUUGGGCCCAAUAAUGUCCUCGAGGACCCAUGUCGCUAUCGUGAAAAGCAAGACCCUUCAUCCGCACCGUUCUGGAGUUUAGGGUUCAUCACAAUCUUCGAUCUCCGCCAUUAGAGAGGCUGAGAUGCAGACAGAGGUCAGCGUGACAAUUCCGUUCAUUGGGGUUUCAAUCGUGUACAUCUCUUCUAUACUCACUGUUUCAUUUAAUCGAUGGUGUCAUGGGCUUUGUUCGGUUAAUCUUCUUUUCUAAUUGACCAAAACGUUUCGAGUUAUAGAUUCAUUGCCUUUAUGGCCUUCUUAACUCCAUCCACCAAGAUCUGACAUUGAAUGCAAGUUUCUCUUCUGUAAGGCGGUGUACCCGCAACUAUAAAAGGUUAGCCUUCCUCCCUUGAAAACCAUCCUCUCAAUCCAUGAAAACAACAAUCGUUUAUUGAUUCAUCGUAUAGUUUCUAUGUAGUUAGAUGAGUUCCAACGAGCGGUUGCAUAUAGCUACGACAAUGGUUUGAAAGAUAGACUUGAGACAGGCAUCAUGAGUUUGGUUUCGCUAUUGUUCUACCUCCCCUGAAAAGUUCCUAGCUUCUCUGGCUUCUUGAACUAUAUGUCUGGUUCUAAAAACUCUGUUAGAAAGUGGAAAGUCUUAGAUCACGUAGACUCUGAUGAUGUGUUGUUCGCUUUUGCUCCAAAAAGGCAACAAUCAUGCUCAGGCCUGCUCAUGCUAACCACCGUCAACGUCCACCGUCUCACCACUUAUGUGACUCGGCGCAAUCAGAAUUUUAUACUGCCCGAGUCUCCUCUAUUGAUUCGUUUCAACGAUUCAACCACUUUGGAUGAGAUAACCGACUUACCUUACUAAGUUGAGUGCACUCCGCCAUAUCAGUUAGGUGAAAGGCUUACUCUUCCACCAUAUAUUGUUCAUCAUGUAAGCAUAAUCAUUCUCAUUCUGUGAUUUUAGCUCUCUUUGCAUUGAUCAACAACAACAUUUAGUAAUCCACAAAUCUAAAGUUGUCCUCUUUAUGUAACAUAGGAGAGUUGUUUAGAUUUGUAGAUUUUUAGAAUCGUAGAAUUCUUUUUGUGUCACUUGAAAUAAUCUUGGGUUGACUUUUGUAUGGUAGCAGAGUUGUACGUCAUGAAGUAUCACUUUUCAUGAAUGUUCAUUAUGCCAAUGUAACCCAAGUAAAAUGGUCUGUGCAGGUGUGUUUCUUGCAGCAAUAUUCAUAUGGUCCUAGGCCCCAGCCUUCGAGCAAGAUCGUAGAGCUAGCUGAGCGUAUAGCGGCAUUGUCUCCAGAAGAGCGGAAACAAAUUGGUCAUGCACUCAGUAAACACCUGCGGCUUCAGGAACAACAAAUGAUUUCGUUCUAAGGCAUGAGGGAGAGAGCAAAACAAGAGGCUGGAACCAAAAAAAAAGGAAAAGCCUGUGUUCUUAAAAUACCAGUUUAUCUGGUUACAAGGCACUUUGGUGAUCAAUGAUUCUCUCACAAAAAGUUAGUUUAAAAUGCUCUGAAACACUGGUGGGAUUCUACAGAAUCAGCAUCGUACGUUUGUUUGUGAGAAAUGCAGGGUUUUACAAAGCUUAUGGAGGGUGGCUUUGAGAUAAGGUUGGUUGAUGAUGAUUUGUGAUUGUACAUUUGUACUCAUAUGAACAACGUAGUAUAGCUUUCCACUAGCCAUUUCAAAUUAUUUGCUUAUUUCCUUUUCACCUGUAAAUAUCUUUUAAAAUAUUAUGUUGUAACUUUGGAAACCCACUUUGAGUAUGAUCGAUUGCUCAUCUACAUA